ACCUGUUCCAACCGGUCCAAUUGUAUGACAAAAAAUGAGCCACGUCAAUUAAAAACAAUACUAUUAGAAAGGGAAACAAAAGUUUAGUCACAGUGUAUAUAUAAUGUAUAUAUAUAUUUAAUGUAUUUUCUGAAAUAUUUCCUAAUUAUCUAAAUACAGAAUAUUAGCAAAAAGCCAAAAAUGCACUUGUCAUUUUUCCUCACAAUUUUUUUGUUCUAGGUAGUGGAACUGAAAGAAAGGGAGGAUAAAAAUCUGGAAGGGAAGGAAUAGAAUUGAACAGCAUGUUGGUGUUCGUUCGUUUGUUUGGGUGUUUAUCAUGAAAAUUUUAGGUUGAUUGUUGCAGAGGAUCAUUUGUAGCUUGUAAUUGAUUUGCAAAGGAAGUUGGUCUUCGUUUGGGUGUUUAUCUAUUCGGAUCAUCACAAAUUGGUGUCCUUUCUGUUAUUGGCUGGUCAAUAAUGUUAAAAUGGGCUAAAAUUGGAUUUUUAAGGCCUUUUUGGAGUCAAACUAAGUCUUGGAGAGGAUUCGGAGCAAAAGGAGGCUGAUUUGGAGCAAAAAGAGGUUGAUCCUGAAAAGCUGCCAAGUGAGAUCGAUCAGAAAAGUGAGAUCGAUCAAAGUUGGAUCGAUCGAAAAUCAAAGUUGGAUCAAUCAAACUUUUCUUUGAUCGAUCGAACUUUUUCUCUGAUCGAUCGAACAUUGCUGGCAGUGAGCUGUCUUAUUCCGUGCGCGCCUAAAAGUCCACCUAUCACAUAGUACGAGAUUAGAUAUUUUUGGGGUUAUAUUCCUGACUUAGUGACUAAGAAAAUAACCUUCUAUAUAAAGGGAAGUGACCCCAUUUGUAAAGGAGCUUUUAUCAUUUUUAUUUUUUCAUUGUAUUUUUUAUUUCUCUCUAACAAAGUUAAAGAUUAGGGUUAGAAGAAAAUGGGGGAAGUGGAGGCACAUCUCAAGAUCCAUCUCUAGACCACACUCUCUCUCCAUCUCUAAAGCUUCAAAGAAGAAAAAGAAGAAGAGGAAGAAGAAGAUGGAGCCAUAUUUGGAGCUGGAUUUCAUGACCACAUCCACCUCCUCCAUGAUUGGCUAGAUCUAUACUUAGGGCUUGGAUGAACCCUAAGUCUUGUGUAAUCUAUACGCUUGUAUUUCUAUUUUUGGGGAUUUAUAUAUAUUGUUGUGAUUAGUGUUCUAGCCUUGUGAAUUUAAUGAAUCUUGGUAUAUUUCUAUGA